AAAAGUAUUCUUAAUUCAUUUUAAAACAUUUGGGAUGUCAUUGUCAAUACAGAAACAUAAGCAUAAACAAAGCUUACAUUUAUUUACACUAGUGAUCUACAUCUCUUUAAUCUCAGUGUAAUGUGACUUCAUCUCAACACCUGUAAUAUAAAUAAACUGAGUGGGUCAGGUUGGGAAACCUGGUGAGUACAUAGGGUUUUCAACCCACAAUAGUAUAAUUAUUAUGUUUAAACAAUCAAAGAAUCGACUCAAUUACCCAUCGCCAUUAUUUUCUUUACUCUUAAGGAUCUAUCCUAAGAGUCAUCUAUUCCACAUUAGUUCAUUCUAAAGUCCUUUGCUUCCAGAGUUAUAGGACUCGCACUAAAUCCAUAGCUGCCAAUGCUCGUUCGUAAAGCACUAAUUCCAUAGCUGCUGGGUACUAAAUCCAUAGCUACCAGUGUUUAUCUAAUAGGUACUAAGUUCAUAUUUAAUGUCCCAAAACUCAAGACUAAAAAUUUCUUUUUAUAAAACAUUACUUAAAACAUAAUUAUCAAUCCAUAACAUAAUCAAAGUAUUACUUCCAAAACAUACUUUCAUUAUCAGAGUAAAACAUUCCCAGGCUGUGUAAUCUAUGGUGUGUGCCAUGCGAUCACCCCGAGCUCUUCCCUCCGCUACCGGAAGUACCUGAAACCAAAACUGAAAACUGUAAGCACGAAGCUUAGUGAGUUCCCUAACCUACAACAUACAAUACAUAACCACAUACUGCACAUACUAGGGCACGCUUGCUAUUCUGGGCCUCGCCCCCUACCUCGGGCCUCGCCCGCUACAACAGCUCCGCCACUCCAGGCCUCGCCUGGCUUCGAGCUCCGCUCGGAUACAGAUCUGUUUCACUUAGGCCUCGCCCGCUAGCAUAUACUAACACAUAAGCAUAUCACAACACACAAACUAACAUAUACUAACAAAUCAUGUCCUGAGGCCUCGCCUAUCUUGGGCCUCAACCUUGUCCUGCUACUAGUGAGUCAUGGAACCCCGUCCAUGCUCCUACUGAUAGUGAGAUAUGGGCCCAGCCCACACUCACUCGUUCCCUAACUUGGGACUCACCCCUGAUCUGCUGCUAAUGAGAUGUGGAACACCGUCCACACUCUGUUGUUGGUGAGAUAUGGGACCUCGCCCACACUCACCUCCCUACCAGGCACAUACACGUAUCACACAGACAAAAAGCAUAAACUAUCAUAUAAACCAUUCCUUGGGCACCCGCCCGCUAUCAUUAGACCUCGUCCUGAAUAUCAUACUAGCAUACUGUGCCUAGGCCUAACCCCUGGGUCUUCUACUCAUAACUACAUAGGCCGGCAUUGUGGCCUUAGACUCAUUCACACAAAGGGAAAUCUCACCUCCACUUGCUGAACUUGCUGACACCCCUCUGACUGCUGCCCGACAACUCUAUGAACUACGGCUCUACUAGCUCCCCAUGCUACCAAUAUUAAUAUAACACUAAGUCUAACUGUCCUCCAGAAGUCAACUAAGUCAACUAUGGUCAAGGUCAAAGUCUUGGUCAAGGUCAACCUUCCAGGUCAACCCUACUCGCCGAGUCUGCCUACUGUUUCGCCGAGUUCACACACUCAGAUUCCUUCCAUUAGCGACUCGACUCGCCAAGUCAGACCAUGACUCGCCGAGUCCACCGAUUUCCGAGUCCUUUCCUGUCCAACUCACUGAGUCUCCACCCGACUCACUGAUUCGAGUAAUACCUCGAAGGGUUCAGGGUUUGCGACCUGACUCGCCGAGUCCAAGCACAGACUCGCCGAGUGCAAGGCAAACUUCAACAGACUCGCCGAGUUGUUCAUCUAACUCGUCGAGUUCCUCCCAAUCUUCAUACUACUCGCCGAGUCCACUCGAAGGACUCGCCGUGUCUAUUCAGUCCUUCAUACAUUUAGAGGCUUUUGAGUCAUGCAGGGACUCCAAACUGUAGAUCCACUCUCCCAAAGCUCAUUCCCCACAUAAAGUUGCAACCUUUACGUGUAGCUAAGGAGAUCUAGGCUAAACACACCACAAACUAGGGUUUAAGACAACCAUGCAUCACCUACACUCUUAAGGCUGAUACUUUAUGACUCUCUGGGCCAAGACACAACUGGAGCUAAAGGGAUUCAACUUAGGGACGUCCAAACCCGAAAUAUAUCAUACUUGGUCCAAAAUCUCAUAAAGAGGGACAUGAAAUGAUCCAACAAUUAACAAGGCAAGCAAGGAACUUGAUUACCAAAAUGAGCAGCUAAAGAGAUGAAUCUUCUGGAUCCACAACCUUCCUCUUGAACCCUUAACGCCUUCUUCUCCUUCUAGGCUUCAAGAACACUCCAACUCUUCAACAAUGGCUCACACACUCAAAGAGAGCACUAGGGUUUCGUGGAAUAGCUUCUGGACAAUGGGGGCUACAAAUGAGGCUGAUACAAGGAGAAUGAGAUGCUUAAAUAGGGUACAAGUCCAAGAAUUAGGGCUUUCUCAACCCAAACCAGACUUGUCGAGUCAGUCUCCCCGACUCAUCGAGUCAGUCACUUAAACCGCGACACGGAUCACGCUGCGACUCGUCGAGUUCCUCCCUGGACUCGACGAGUUGACCCAUUUGACUUAGGGUUUUAUUUACUUACUUGGCCUUUCGGAUCUUGGGUGUUACAACUGUCCCCCACUUAAAAUAAACUUCAUUCUCUAAGUUCACUAUGGCCAACCGACCUAAGAUCUGCGUCCAAUACUUUGCCUGGCAAAACCGAACACCCGCUGGCUACCUCUGCCGGCAUUCCGCCCGGUCACUCUGACUAUCAUUAUUUCUUGCGGAUAAUAUUCUCAGGUUUACCCUAGCCCUGACCCUCAUGGAACGUAACUUACUUGACUAACAAUCCUUCUGGUACUCCCCGAGUACUCAUGCUAGACCUCCUAGGGGUUCACCCCUCUUUUCCUCGUGUUUUCUGGCCUUCUCCAAGCAACGUCCCAUAUCAACUACUCCCUAUGUCACUGUGAAGGUCCUAUCCUUCACCAAAUCCAUUACUCCCGAUACCUCCAGUACGGGUCAUUACCGCCAGUAUCCACUGGGCAUUUCUCUCUACUAUAUUUUGGUGUCGAGCACCCCACGAUCAACUAACUGAAUUCCACCAUAGACUGCUUACCAGCACUGCUACUGACUGAAAAUUUCUGCUAUUCCUUAUCUGCCUUCUGGAUGAACCGAGACCACCCUGGCCCCUACUGAUCUAUCAAUAUCCCACCGGUCGCUAGCCCCAACACCGACUCCUAGUCGCUCCCAGUGACUUUCGAAGAAACUUAGGCUAUCUAAUACUGCACUCUCUACUUUGCCACUCUGGCGCUACAAGUCCUAGGAUCCUCGAUCCCCUAACUUGACCCUAAGGUCCUUACCAAGUCCCACCUAUGCUACUAACACUCACGGGCCUCGCCCACGGGUCUCACCCAACUAUAACCUCAACUGGUCUAUUCUUCUAGUCUCACUCGCCUAACGACUCUCGCAUGGGCCUCGCCCACGGGUCUCACCCCACUACAUCCUGGAGCGGCCUCUCCCAAGGUCUCACCUUUCUAGAGCUAUAUAGGCAAGCUCCCUACUAUCCUCAACUGCUACCCAUUCUUGAUGCCUUCCUUGAUCACUAGGAGAUAAGGUCUCGCCCCAACUCCACUAACGAAGCUACCAGGGAAUACUACGGCUUACCCGUCGUCUUACAACACCUUCCAUCUCUGACUGCUGCUGGAGAAGCUACGACUCUCCCGCCGCUCUACUAUGCUCUACGAACUGCCUCCACCAGUAUCUACUAACACAAAAGCAUCCCAUGCUAUCUAUCAUCAAGAUCUUCAUUCCGACUCACUCGAGUCCUACAGGCGAUCCUCCAACCUGAAUUCCCAACCAUGUACUAACCAUCACCAUUACACACACUAACUGAUGGGGACUUUCUCAAACUCCUAACCCUGAACUCCUCAAUCCAUCAAACGCUGGGCCACCCCCUUUCCUUCUCAGAGACCGCGUACUCAUUCUGGAUCUGCGUGCUCUUACCCUUGUACACUUGGAGGAUUCUCCCCCACUUCGAUCCUGCUUACACCUCGUUGCUCAAUGCUCGAAAAGAAAUCCCAAUCCUUGCUACCAUUCCAUAGUCAAUCUGCUGAGGAACCCAAGCCUACCAUAGCUAGGGAUCUAACCAGUCAAUCUCUACAACGAUACAGUUCCGAACAGGCAAGACAUUCCAAGUCCUACACCGGCAUGCUACAGUUACUGCAUCCUAAGCGACCUUCUCUGAUAGGGAACAUCCCCUAACUAUUAUCUAGAUAUCCAAGGUAUGCUAAUGGCAUAUAACUAAAUCACAAGCAAGCCGCACAAAAUCAAAAUACUCAUACCAAUAAUGAUGCAGAACCAUAACAAUAUAAUCAUGCAUAAAGAAAAACAGAAAACGGAAGUCGCAUACCUGCAACGUCCGACGCUGCUCGUGUCUCCAUGGUCGUCAUCUGAAAAGCCCUUCUUCCUACCGCAGGCGCCUCUUCCCGGCCCUGACGGCCCUCUAUGAUCCUCAAGGUUGCAGGGGCAGGUGCCAUCACCCGCCCUGCUGGAAGCAAACUGGGACACUGGGCCUUCUUGUGGCCCUGCUGGUUGCAGUGAAAACAUAUCAAGUCUGAUCCCUGUGUGGUGGCAGCAGUACAACCACUGCUAAAAUGACCAGUCCGACCGCACUUGAAGCAGCCCGAAUCUGCACCACUACACACCCUGGUGCGUCUGCCGCACCUUCCGCAUCGGCCGCGGCUCUGGUAAUCCCUCGAUCUCGAGUCUGACCCCUUGGUCCUUUUUCCCGAGCCUGUGACUGUCUGAAUCUCAUCCGGCUUCCUCUUCCGGAUCUGUUCCAAAUCAAUCUCCCUUUCUUUAGCUCGUGCGAUCAUAUCCUCCAAUGUUUUACAGCUGGACCUGCUCACAAAUUGCCUGAUGUCAUCCCUCAACAUCUCGUGAUAUGGGGCCUUCUUCAUCUCCUCAUCCGCGACAUACUGCGGAACAAAAAGGGCCCUCUCCCUGAACUUGGCGGUGAUCUCCGCCACAGUCUCAGUAGUCUGCGUCAAAUCCUGAAACUCCGAUGCCAACUGCUGCACCUUAAUAAUCGGUGAAAACUCGGCCCUAAACCUAGUCGAGAAAUCGCUCCAUGUCAUUGCGUCCAACGCGGCAUCAUCAUCAAUGGCAUGACCAAUCUCCUCCCACCAAUCCCUCGCUCUGUCCUUCAGAAGGCAGGAGGCAAGUUGACCUUGUCCCCCUCGGGACACUGACUUGUACGGAAUGCAUUGGCAAUAUCAGCCAACCAUCUGCUGCUAGCGAUGGGGUCCCUAGACCCAAGAUAAUUUGGUGCCCCGCAAGCCCUGAACUCUCAAAAUGUCAAAGUACGCGCUCCCAUCAAAGCCAUCAUCUCGGUACGGAAGGCUUCCAGCCUCUCAUCCAAGAUCUCCAGUAUACCCUCCUUGACCGUGCUAAAGAUCACAGGAGUCUGGUCUAGUAUGCUGCGAGUAACCUCAGCUGAUAUUAACUCCCUAGCCUGAUCCCUCUCCGACGCCUGAUUUGCCCACUAGUCUAUCUCGCAACGUCACCAUGCUGAAAAUAUAACACAACCACUAUCAAAAUACUUAUCACUGCUCCGAGACCAAAUACACGCACUACCGGGUUCCUGGUCUUGUCUCGGCCUUUCCCAAAUCGAGUACGGAUCCUUUGCUUUUAAUAGUACGGGCCCAUACUACCUUCCACAUUUAUCCGUACUUUCCUUAAGAACUACUUCGAUUCCACCAGGUCCCUUUUCCACUACUACUGCUCCCAGCACUACCUCAUCCUAGGCUUGCCCUAGGGAAACCUCUAACUCAAACCAAACCAGUCCUUAGCCGCUGAAGACCUCCUUAUGAUGCCAAUAAGCCAUCACCUGGAUACCAUCACAUGUGAUGAGGCUUAGAUAAUCCUUCAAGUAAAAGACUCGUCCAUACAACGGUUGGGCUCAAACAAGAGCUGCGCAAUAGGGCCAAAUCCAGCACUCUGAGAUUAUUCAACCCUGAUCACAUGUGAUGUGACGUAUCCACCUAAUGGCUAGCUCCCAUCACUCGGAGUCCCACAAUGCACAAAGAAAGCGACAUUCAGACAAGGGAAAAUCUAACCAUAACAUACUCAAGCAAUCAUAAUCUCAUAACAAGAAUCUAUACUAGCAUGCAACACAAACUCAUAAACUCAGGCAUAACCUAAACAGGCUAUCGUACUACUGUCUAACCAGCACUAUCAUGCAGCUCAAAAGCACAUAUAACAGGAACAUAAGGCAUCCUCCCUAGAUCCUUAGUCCUAAUAUAGCAUGUUGUUCUAUUAACUGAUAAUCAUAACAUAACUUGUUUGGGUCUUUUGGGGUACUUACUUGAGCUUGACUGAUUGCAUGUACCACACCCCUUUUCUCUUUUCAAAAUUCUUUUCUUUCUAAAUUUUUUUUGCUUUUCUAAAACUGUUUUCUUUCUCAAACUCGUUUUACAAAACUGUCUUUUCAUUUUGAAAACUUCUAUACCAAUUCCUUAGUUUGAGUUCAGACACACCUGAUAGUACGUCCGAAUCCCUUAAACCAAGGCUCUGAUACCAACUUGUAACAUCCCAAAAUUCAAGACUAAAAAUUUCUUUUAUAAAACAUUACUUAAAACAUAAUUAUCAAUCCAUAACAUAAUCAGAGUAUUACUUCCAAAACAUAUUUUCAUUAUCAGAGUAAAACAUUCCUAGGCUGUCUAACCUAUGGUGUGUGCCAUGCGAUCACCCCGAGCUCUUCCCUCCGCUACCGAAAGUACCUGAAACCAAAACUGAAAACCGUAAGCACGAAGCUUAGUGAGUUCCCCAACCUACCACAUACCAUGCCUAACCACAUACUUCACAUACUUGGCCACGCCCACUAUUUUGGGCCUCGCCCCUACCUCGGGCCUAGCCCGCUACAACGGCCCUGCCGCUCCAAGCCUCGCCUGGCUUCGAGCCUCGCUCGGAUACAGAUCUGUUUCACUUAGGCCUCGCCUGUCACUGGGCCUCGCCCGCUAGCAUAUACUAACACAUAAGCAUAUCACAACACAUAAACUAACUUGUACUAACAAAUCAUGUCCUGAGGCCUCGCCUAUCUUGGGCCUCGCCCUUGUCCUGCUACUAAUGAGUCAUGGAACCCCGUCCAUGCUCUUACUGAUAGUGAGAUAUGGGCCCAUCCCACACUCACUCUUNCUAACUUGGGACUCGCCCCUGAUCUGCUGCUAAUGAGAUGUGGAACACCGUCCACACUCUGUUGUUGGUGAGAUACGGGACCUCGCCCACACUCACCUCCCUACAAGGCACAUACAUGUAUCAAACAGACAAAAAACAUAAACUAUCAUAUAAACCAUUCCUUGAGCACCCGCCCGCUAUCAUUAGAACUCGUCCUGAAUAUCAUACUAGCAUAUUGUGCCUAGGCCUAACCCCUGGGUCUUCUACUCAUAACUACAUAGGCCGGCAUUGUGGCCUUAGACCCAUUCACAUAAAGGGAAAUCUCACCUCCACUUGUUGAACUUGCUGACACCCCUCUGACUGCUGCCUGACAACUCCAUGAACUACGGCUCUACUAGCUCCCCGUGCUACCAAUAUUAAUAUAACACUUAGUCUAACUGUCCUCCAGAAGUCAACUAAGUCAAGUCUGGUCAAGGUCAACCUUCCAGGUCAACUCUACUUGCCGAGUCGGCCUACUGACUCGCCGAGUUCACACGCUCAGAGUCCUUCCAUUAGCGACUCGACUCGCCGAGUCAGACCAUGACUCGCCGAGUCCACCGAUUUCCGAGUCCUGUCCUGUCCUACUCACUGAGUCUCCACCCGACUCAUUGAUUCGAGUUUUACCUCGAAGGGUUGGGGGUUUCGUGACCUGACUCGCCGAGUCCAAGAAUAGACUCGCCGAGUCCAAGGAAAACUUCAACAGACUCGCCGAGUUGUUCAUCCAACUCGUCGAGUUCCUCCCAAUCUUCAUACUACUUGCCGAGUCUAUUCAGUCCUUCAUACAUUCAGAGGCUUUUGAGUCAUGCAGGGACUCCAAACUGUAGAUCCACUCUCCGAAAUCCCAUUCCCCACAUAAAGUUGCAACCUUUACGUGUAGCUGCGGAGAUCUAGGCUAAACACACCACAAACUAGGGUUUAAGACAACCAUGCAUCACCUACACUCUUAAGGCUGAUACUUUAUGAGUCUCUGGGCCAAGACACAACUAGAGUUGAAGGGAUUUAGCUUGGGGACGUCCAAACCCGAAAUGUAUCAUACUUGGUCUAAAAUCUCAUAAAGAGGGACAUGAAAUGAUACAACAAUUAACAACGCAAGGAAGGAACUUGAUUACCAAAAUGAGUAGCUAAAGAGAUUAAUCUUCUAGAUCCACAACCUUCCUCUUGAACCCUUAAAUCCUUCUUCUCCUUCUAGGCUUCAAGAACACUCCAACUCUUCAACAAUGGCUCACACACUCAAAGAGAGCACUAGGGUUUCGUGGAAUAGCUUCUGGACAAUGGGGGCUACAAAUGAGGCUGAUAGAAGGAGAAUGAGAUGCUUAAAUAGGGUAUAAGUCCCGGAAUUAGGGCUUUCUCAACCCAAACUGGACUCGUUGAGUCAGUCACUUAAACCGCGACACAGAUCACUCUGCGACUCGUCGAGUUCCUCCCUGGACUUGACGAGUUGACCCAUUUGACUUAGGGUUUUCUUUACUUACUUGGCCUUUCUGAUCUUGGGUGUUACACCAUAGCUACCAAUUCCUAACAGGUACUAAGUCCAUAGCUACCAGUGUUUAUCCAAUAGGCACUAAGUCCAUAGGUGUCGAUGUUAUUUGUUAGGCACUAAGUCUAUAGCUGCCAAUGUUUACUCACAUCAUCUUUUAUCUCUCAUCAUUCAUCUGCCCAUCUCAUACCCAACAUACUUGUAUAUUUAAAAUACGUAUACAGUUCAAAUCAUUUAAAACAUGUAUAAAAAAAACGUUCAUCCAACAUAGACAACAAGUAUUCAAAUAAUAUGCACACAUAGCACGUAGUUUAUACAAAAUACUUCAUAUCUAUGUGUAAGAUGAAAGUAACUAUGCACUCACAUGAGAAGGUGGUGACUCGGUAUUCGGACAACGCUUUGUUUACUUUAAAAUACUUUCCUUCGACGAAACCUAGUAUUAUUACUACUAGAUUUUAGUCUAUUAUUUACCGUGACUAAUUAUUAGUCUUAUUAUUGUUAUGAUAUAAGCAUUUAAACAAUACUUUCCAACCACUAUGUACAAACAGGGGCCAGACAUAAAACACCGGAGGGCAGGACCAUUUUGGCGUAUAGCACUUUUUGAAAUGCAACAACCCUAUGCGGCCCUUUAAACCAGAUUCCGUGUACCACGAGUUGUUAAAAAGAUAUUAAAACGACACUUAUAUAAGUCAUAAUAAUAGCUCAAAUAUUUAUUAUAAAUUUAUAAUAACAAUACUGGUUUUAAAUAUAAAUUAUAUUUAAAAUAGGGUAAUCAUAACUUACUUACAAGGGGAUUUUAGCUAGGAGUCGGGCUCUGCAGGGGCAGAACUUUGUCGCUGAAUCUUUCUAAGAAAGAUUCGUGCAAUGCUUCAAGGCUCACCUUACUAUACUAAAACUACAGAAAGAGAAGUCGAAUCACGAGGGACCGAAAUGCUCGGGGGAUAAGGAGAGAAAGACUCUUGAAUCAAGAGAAUGGUGCAAGAAUUAUGAGAGCCCAAGGCUCUUAUUUAUACUAAUUGAAUUUUCAAAAACUACCCUCCAUAAUUACUUAAUGACCUUUUAGUUAUAUAAACAACUAAAUACCCCUCUAUAAUACUAUUUUAAAUAAAUUUAAUGAUAUUUGUACUAAACUAAUGUCGAAACAACAGAACAUUAGUCUUAUAAUGACCGCAUCGUCAAUACCUUUCUAAUGAUAUAUACAUAUGUAUAUAUAUAUAUAUAUAUAUAUGUGUGUGUGUGUGUGUGUGUACGUAUAUAUGAUUUAUACUUUAUUUUAAUACGUAAAUAUGCUAUUAUAAUUUGUAACUCAUUCAUACGAACUCCGUUUUUGACGUUAUUUAUAUCCACGCGUAGGUGGAAACGUACUCUACAACUUUCGUUUAGACUCUGUCGGCUAAUUUUGAACUUUUUUUAAAGUUAUAUUUUUAACAGGCCGGGACAUGAUUGGUCCGUUAAAAUCUCAUAACUUCUUCAUCCGAUGUCCAUUUCGUCUGUCUUUUUAUCGUUAUGCUACUAAUAACGAGAUAUUUGAUACUCGUUUAGGUUGUGUCGGCUAAAAACUACUCGAUCUAAUAUUUGAAUUUCGGGAUGUAUAUUGCUAAUCCGAAACUUCGAAAAAUCAUAACUUCCUCAUACGAAGGAUUUGGGCGUUCUUUUUAUAGACGAUUUCAGUUUAACAUAUUAUACGACUUUCGUUUAGAUCGCUAAGGCUAAAUCUCGCUCUAUCGUAAAUUCACUAUUUACGUAUCCCGAUUUCGUGCUGGUUCUGUCGCGAAAGUUCGAUGGGUCAUAACUUAUUCGUUGUAACUCGGAUUUCGGCGGUCUUUAUAUGUGCAAAAACCUUGUAACAUAUACUACAACUUGGUUAAGAUUAUUUAUUCUAAAUAAUAUUUUGCCGAAAAGUCAUUUUCGACACUUAUUGCCUCUAAACUGAUUAGCCCGGAUCUACGGGCCUUACAUUUAUCUCCCCCAUAGGAUGAUUACCUCCCGAAAUCAUCAAUGAAACAGGACUCACAUGAUGACUCCAUAUGUUAUCUCUUCAUCGUAAGUAUACUGUAACUUUGAUGUUUCUUCGAAUGAGUAUCUAACUUUAAGACUUACUGACUACAAGCGGUGCCCGAUCUAGGACCCGCUCUCCAUCUCAUGUUAGACUUCCAAAUCAUUAUCUUCAUGGCGCGAUCUCAAUCUUUAUUGGAGACUCAUUUUUUUAACAAACUUGAGAUAAGUUUCUUCCUUCGAUUAUCAUAAUAGACUGAUGGGUCAUGCUCUAAUGACCUCUCAUCGUAUGAUGCAUCGCUUGGACUCAGGUCUUUUAGAGUCAAAUUCUAGAACAUACUAUAUCUUCCUUCAUGUUCUAACCAUAUCUUAAAAGGUAGCAUUUCUAACUACAAUCAACCUUUCGUGAUACUUCUACUGAUUGCUUUUUAUUUCAAUCUUUUGUCUUAAUUCAGACGCUACAUCGAACUUGAUUCUCUAAACCACAUAACAUACUCAAUGUAGUCGGACUCAAUUUGAUAUGACCACUAGGGUCGGAAUAAAAAUCAUCUUCUUAGUCGUUACCGAAAUGAUGGUAAUGACAUACUUGAAUAAAACAAAAUCAGUUACUAGCUUCUUGGUAACCUUGUGACUUUCCCUGAUCCAAGUGUGAGACCUGUGCUUCUGGUAGUAUAUGCAUCUACUACCUUUCACACCUACUCAUACUCGUCCCAACUAUUGUCUCUUAGUCCUCAUGUCCUAAAUCACAAAAUAAUUUAACAAAUAUGAGUGUGUCCAAACAAUCAUAAAAAUUUCCCUAGACUCUACAAGGACUUCUUCCAUGCAUAUCUUCAAUCAUCAAUUCUGCUUCAACUCGAUUGGUGAUGGACAUUCCAGAUGAUAGGAAAAUUUUAGGAAUUACAUCAAUCGUUCUAUCAUCCCGCCAAUCAAAUGUGUACAUUCAGAUGUACCCUACUUCUAUAGACGUACUGCUAUUUUAUCAGACGUAUUCUAAAAGCAACAUACCUCUCAUAUGAUAUCUUCCGAUAGGUAUCAUUAUGUAUCGUAAGCCAUCUCAUUUCCUCUAUUUUCCCAGUCUAUCAUGGUUCGCAUCACUUCCUGAACUUCUACCAUCGUGAUAGGUUUGGGUGCAAGCGUAACGACCGAUGUAUGACCCAUCACAUUCUUAGGCUUAGGUUGUCAUCUUCCUCUUGUUUUGUACACCCAAGAAUACGUUCGGUGUACCGAGAAGAGAAUUUAAGAUAGGAAAGAUUUUAUUUACGAUAGACGUAUAAAUCUCCUUGUCACACAGAAACGUUACAUGCUAGUUCUAAUAUCGUAAUCAUACACAUGGAAUCCUGAACACAUUAGGUUUCCAGAUCUGGUCGGCAACAGACCAUAGAUCCGAACAAAUAACAUCAUAUAAGGCAUCUUUAUAGCUAUAACAUAAAUCAUUUAGCACAUAAAGUAUUUUAGGCAUCUUUCCUAAAAUAAACUAGCGCUCGUGUUUAAAUUAUACCAGACACUCAUCUCACAAUCAUCGCUUAGCAUUCUAAGUUUAAGUCUAGAAAUAAAUCCAUAUUCCUAGUUCGCUUAAACUAAUGCUCUGAUACCAACUGUGACAUCCCCAUUUUCACGGCCAGAAAAGACCGAUUUUGUUUAUGCUUUAUAAAAAUCAGAGUACUUCUUUUCAUAAAAAUGUUGCGGAAUUUGUUCCCAGAAAAACACGAUAAAUACGUUAUUAAAACAUUUUCGAAGAAACGUAUUUAAUUCGUUUUAAAACAUUUGGGAUGUCAUUGUCAAUACAGAAACAUAAGCAUAAACAGAACUUACAUUUAUUUACACUAGUGAUCUACAUCUCUUUAAUCUCUCAGUGUAAUGUGACUUCAUAUCAACACCUGUGAUAUAAAUAAACUGAGUGGGUCAGGUUGGGAAACCUGGUGAGUACAUAGGGUUUUCAACCCACAAUAAUAUAAUUAUUAUGUUUAAACAAUCAAACAAUCGACCCAAUUACCCAUCCCCAUUUUCUUCUUUACUCUUAAGGAUCUAUCCUAAGAGUGAUCUAUCCCGCAUUCGUUCAUUCUGAAGUCCUUUGCUUCCAGAGUUAUAGGACUGGCACUAAAUCCAUAGCUGUCAAUGUGCAUUCGUAAAGCACUAAUUCCAUAGCUGUUGGGUAGUAAAUCCAUAGCUACCAGUGUUUAUCUAAUAGGUACUAAGUCCAUAGGUACCGAUUCCUAACAAGUACUAAGUCCAUAGCUACAAGUGUUUAUCCAAUAGGCACUAAGUCCAUAGCUGCCGAUGUUAUUUGUUAGGCACUAAGUCUAUAGCUGCCAAUGUAUACUCACAUCAUCUUUUAUCUCUCAUCA
rnacentral:lncRNA from 1 species